rnacentral:rRNA from 1 species
UACGAAGGGAGCUAGCGUUGUUCGGAAUCACUGGGCGUAAAGCGCACGUAGGCGGAUUUGUCAGUCAGGGGUGAAAUCCCGGGGCUCAACCUCGGAACUGCCUUUGAUACAGCAAGUCUUGAGUUCGAGAGAGGUGGGUGGAAUUCCUAGUGUAGAGGUGAAAUUCGUAGAUAUUCGGAAGAACACCAGUGGCGAAGGCGGCUCACUGGACUGGUAUUGACGCUGAGGUGCGAAAGCGUGGGGAGCAAACAGG